rnacentral:rRNA from 1 species
AUUGAACGCUGGCGGCAUGCCUUACACAUGCAAGUCGAACGGUAACAGGUCUUCGGAUGCUGACGAGUGGCGAACGGGUGAGUAAUACAUCGGAACGUGCCUAGUAGUGGGGGAUAACUACUCGAAAGAGUGGCUAAUACCGCAUGAGAUCUACGGAUGAAAGCAGGGGAUCGCAAGAACUUGUGCUACUAGAGCGGCCGAUGGCAGAUUAGGUAGUUGGUGGGAUAAAAGCUUACCAAGCCGACGAUCUGUAGCUGGUCUGAGAGGACGAGCAGCCACACUGGGACUGAGACACGGCCCAGACUCCUACGGGAGGCAGCAGUGGGGAAUUUUGGACAAUGGGCGAAGGCCUGAUCCAGCAAUGCCGCGUGCAGGAUGAAGGCCUUCGGGUUGUAAACUGCUUUUGUACGGAACGAAAAGCCCCGGGUUAAUACCCUGGGGUCAUGACGGUACCGUAAGAAUAAGCACCGGCUAACUACGUGCCAGCAGCCGCCGUAA